GAGUUUGAUCAUGGCUCAGGAUGAACGCUGGCGGCGUGCCUAAUACAUGCAAGUCGAGCGAACGGACGAGAAGCUUGCUUCUCUGAUGUUAGCGGCGGACGGGUGAGUAACACGUGGAUAACCUACCUAUAAGACUGGGAUAACUUCGGGAAACCGGAGCUAAUACCGGAUAAUAUUUUGAACCGCAUGGUUCAAAAGUAAAAGACGGUCUUGCUGUCACUUAUAGAUGGAUCCGCGCUGCAUUAGCUAGUUGGUAAGGUAACGGCUUACCAAGGCAACGAUGCAUAGCCGACCUGAGAGGGUGAUCGGCCACACUGGAACUGAGACACGGUCCAGACUCCUACGGGAGGCAGCAGUAGGGAAUCUUCCGCAAUGGGCGAAAGCCUGACGGAGCAACGCCGCGUGAGUAAUGAAGGUCUUCGGAUCGUAAAACUCUGUUAUUAGGGAAGAACAUAUGUGUAAGUAACUGUGCACAUCUUGACGGUACCUAAUCAGAAAGCCACGGCUAACUACGUGCC
rnacentral:rRNA from 1 species